AAUAUUCAGGAAUUUGGAAAGCCAUACAAUUACUCCAAGCUAAUUGUUUAACUGCUAGAUUAAUCAGUACUAUUAUAAGUCAAACACACGGUGUGUUAGGCACCGCACUGUUGUGAAUCUCACAUUAUGCACAAACGUAGUGUGAGAUUCUUGUUUUUCUUACAAUCAAGAUAGUACGCAGAUGACGGAGAAUAAUGUGAACUUCUUGAAUAAUUUUCAUUCAUAACUACAUGCCUAAUCUCUGGUAACAUUGAAAUGAAGAAUUUUGGUAUUUUUCAUAGUUUUCACGCAAGAAUAACAAGCAGUCGUACAGACUAUUUGAGAACCGUUCUUCUUCGUUCUUAGUGAAAUCCGCCUUUUCAUUCUUCAAAGGGUACAAACUUGGUUGUCCCUGCUAACUCAAAUCCAACAAUGGGAUAAAGACAUUACUAUUUAGUCUGCAGCAAGAAGAAGUAGAAAUUGACAAGCACUCGGCCAGAAUUAUUCCUCUCUCACACACACAACCUUUCAAGAAGAUGGUAUAAUGAUGAUCUAAUGAAUCCUUGCGCAAGGAGAAAGGAAAUGUAUGUAAAUACCUCGUAGAGCAGGUAAUUCCAAGUUGUUCAUGCGAGAUAAUGUGACCAUCAACGCCUGCAAAUAAAAUAAUGUUUAAUAGCA